rnacentral:rRNA from 1 species
GGGUUGUGAGGUUAAGCGACUAAGCGUACACGGUGGAUGCCCUGGCAGUCAGAGGCGAUGAAGGACGUGCUAAUCUGCGAUAAGCGCCGGUAAGGUGAUAUGAACCGUUAUAACCGGCGAUUUCCGAAUGGGGAAACCCAGUGUGACUCGUCACACUAUCAUUAACUGAAUCCAUAGGUUAAUGAGGCGAACCGGGGGAACUGAAACAUCUAAGUACCCCGAGGAAAAGAAAUCAACCGAGAUUCCCCCAGUAGCGGCGAGCGAACGGGGAGGAGCCCAGAGCCUGAAUCAGCAUGUGUGUUAGUGGAAGCGUCUGGAAAGGCGCGCGAUACAGGGUGACAGCCCCGUACACAAAAGCGCAUGUGCUGUGAGCUCGAUGAGUAGGGCGGGACACGUGGUAUCCUGUCUGAAUAUGGGGGGACCAUCCUCCAAGGCUAAAUACUCCUGACUGACCGAUAGUGAACCAGUACCGUGAGGGAAAGGCGAAAAGAACCCCGGCGAGGGGAGUGAAAAAGAACCUGAAACCGUGUACGUACAAGCAGUGGGAGCACAGGUUUACCUGUGUGACUGCGUACCUUUUGUAUAAUGGGUCAGCGACUUAUAUUCUGUAGCAAGGUUAACCGAAUAGGGGAGCCGGAGGGAAACCGAGUCUUAACCGGGCGUUAAGUUGCAGGGUAUAGACCCGAAACCCGGUGAUCUAGCCAUGGGCAGGUUGAAGGUUGGGUAACACUAACUGGAGGACCGAACCGACUAAUGUUGAAAAAUUAGCGGAUGACCUGUGGCUGGGGGUGAAAGGCCAAUCAAACCGGGAGAUAGCUGGUUCUCCCCGAAAGCUAUUUAGGUAGCGCCUCGUGAAUUCAUCUCCGGGGGUAGAGCACUGUUUCGGCUAGGGGGCCAUCCCGGCUUACCAACCCGAUGCAAACUGCGAAUACCGGAGAAUGUUAUCACGGGAGACACACGGCGGGUGCUAACGUCCGUCGUGAAGAGGGAAACAACCCAGACCGCCAGCUAAGGUCCCAAAGUCAUGGUUAAGUGGGAAACGAUGUGGGAAGGCCCAGACAGCCAGGAUGUUGGCUUAGAAGCAGCCAUCAUUUAAAGAAAGCGUAAUAGCUCACUGGUCGAGUCGGCCUGCGCGGAAGAUGUAACGGGGCUAAACCAUGCACCGAAGCUGCGGCAGCGACGCUGAUGCGUUGUUGGGUAGGGGAGCGUUCUGUAAGCCUGUGAAGGUGGCCUGUGAGGGUUGCUGGAGGUAUCAGAAGUGCGAAUGCUGACAUAAGUAACGAUAAAGCGGGUGAAAAGCCCGCUCGCCGGAAGACCAAGGGUUCCUGUCCAACGUUAAUCGGGGCAGGGUGAGUCGACCCCUAAGGCGAGGCCGAAAGGCGUAGUCGAUGGGAAACGGGUUAAUAUUCCCGUA